rnacentral:rRNA from 1 species
GGAUUAGAUACCCUGGUAGUCCACGCUGUAAACGAUGAGAACUAGACGUCGGGUGGAUAACCGCUCGGUGUCGCAGCCAACGCAUUAAGUUCUCCGCCUGGGGAGUACGACCGCAAGGUUGAAACUCAAAGGAAUUGACGGGGGCCCGCACAAGCGGUGGAGCAUGUGGUUUAAUUCGAUGCAACGCGAAGAACCUUACCUGCCCUUGACAUCCUGGGAAGGCUCUAGAGAUAGAGCUGUGCCUUCGGGAACCCAGUGACAGGUGCUGCAUGGCUGUCGUCAGCUCGUGCUG